UUAAAGAUUACGCAAUAUUAUUAUUAUUAUUUUUUCUCAAUUCAAUUUUAAUUCUUUAAUCCAACUAAUCCUAUUCAUUUUACAUUAAUGUUUAAAAUAUUGCUUUUAUUAGUUUAAAUAAAUAAAAUUGGAAUGUUUGAAAAAGCAGCGUUUAAAUAUGAAAUUUAAUUGCUGAAAAUAGACAGUGCUAAGAUAUUUGAAAUAGAAAUGCCAGAAAUAAGUAGUCCUUGUGUUUUUUUUGUAGAAGAAUAGAGGAGCUAGGUAUUAUUAUUAUUUUUUAGGUAAAGCAGAAAAAAAGGCAAAAAUGAGAGUGAAGAGAAGAAAUAAUAGUUGGUAUUCCAAAUGGAUGGAGAGAUAGGAAGCAGAGUUUGUCUGACUGUAUCCCAGAUUUUGAUGUGAACUCAAUAUUGAGUAAAUCCUAGUUGUGAAGAUAUGUGAUACAUGGCUUUGAUAGAGAAAGGAAACUAAAACAUUCAUAGAUAAUUGAGGAAAAGUUAAUGUUAAUGAUGUGCCUAUUUUUGUCAAGGAAAAAAAGGGGGAUAACAUUAUUGAGUUUGUAGAAGUCAAAGAAGACAACAUUGCAAGUGCAAAAUAUAUUUAUAGAAUUAUGCUUGUCAUUUUAUCAUGGUUUUGCAGUUUAUUGACAGUUUUGGAAAUAUUCUGUUCUAUCAUUGACCUUUUGUCUGUUACUAUUGCUCAAAGCUUUGUUGUUGGUACAUUUUUCAUAAUGCUGUAUAAACAUGUUAUAAAUGUUAUAAUAAAUUGUUAUUGUUUA